CAUAUCAUUACCGUAUUGACUUCUCACUUCUCUGUAUUUAACAAUCAAUCUCCUUUGUAAACUCUAAAACUAUGUAACAAAUUUACUUGAAAUAUUUUCUCCCUUUUGAUUUUGAAGGCUAACAGUCGGGAAUAGUCACGUUAAUGGGAGAUCUAGAUCGAUAUAUCACCACCGUCCACCCGCAAGGCAUGAAAAACGACAAGGCUUGCGAUCCUCGAAACGCCGCUGCACACAGAACCCUAGCGUUCAUCUCCAGUUUAUAAUUCGUCACGCUUAUCGAUGACGACUACGGAAUAAAAGGACUACGCGAAAGAAGAUCUUGCAAGGAUUUAUUAAGGACGUCAACGGCAGCAAAGAUGACUACAGUAUGGAUCCACUUUCUGAAUUGUGUAAGGUUUUCGUAUUUGCAACCAAAAGUAAUUUCCAAAGACCUUCGUUAUUCUUGAAAUUCUAGAAUUUCAUUCUUUUAGUGCAAAAUAUUGUCAAUUAGGGAGAUUUUCACAAAGAUAAGAGUCGCCAUGUGUGGAACUUAACUUUUUCA